rnacentral:tRNA from 1 species
GCCGGUUUGGCUCAGUGGUUAAAGCAUUGGCCUGUGGACCAAAGGGUCACAGGUUCGAUUCCGGUAAGGGCA